rnacentral:rRNA from 1 species
AUUGAACGCUGGCGGCAUGCUUUACACAUGCAAGUCGAACGGCAGCGCGGGCUUCGGCCUGGCGGCGAGUGGCGAACGGGUGGGUAAUGCAUCGGAACGUGCCCAGUAGUGGGGGAUCGCCCGGCGAAAGCGGGAUUAAUACCGCAUGCGACCUGAGGGUGAGAGCGGGGGAGCGAGAGGCCUCGCGCGAUUGGAGCGGCCGAAGUCGGUUGAGCAGGUUGGGGGGGUAAAGGCUUACCAAGGUGGCGCUCCGUAGCUGGUCUGAGAGGACGACCAGCAACACUGGGACUAAGACGCGCCCCAGACUCGUACGGGAGGCAGGAGUGGGGAAUUUUGGACAAUGGGGGCAACCCUGAUCCAGCCAUGCGGCGGGCGGGAAGAAGGCCCUCGGGUUGUAAACCGCUUUUGUUCGGGAAGAAAUCCUCUGGGCUAUACCCCGGGGGGAUGACGGUACCGGAAGAAGAAGCACCGGCUAACUACGUG